rnacentral:lncRNA from 10 species
GCAGGGGUGUAGAGGUGAAGAAGAGCUCUGGGGAUAGGUCAAGUCAGCUGGGCUGUGCUACCACGGGCAGCAGCAGUCUGCAGGAGAGCCCUGAACAUCAGUCUACUGGAUGCUGUAGCCCAAGUGACAACAACGUAACUGCGGAGCAAAUGCUGGAGCAGUAGAAAUGCUAGAGCUUCUAAAAUCCGCUCAGUGAGCUGAUUAGUUACAAAUAUGAAGGAAGCAUCAGCUCAUUCAGUACAAGCAAUGGAGCCUAGGAAUUAACAGUGAAGACUGGACAUAGCUGGAGCAAAUGACUUAACCUCUCUCUGCCCGUUUCCCUCAUCUGAGAAAUGAGCCAAGGGUUAUUCUGUAACUAUGUGCUCAGGCAAGGAAGAUUUCCCACUUCUCCACUAACAACAGUCAGAAGCCAAAAGCUCCACUCAGGUGCUUGGCUACAUUUUGCCUUAAAGGACAGCUGAAGUGGUGCGGUUACCUCCACCCCAACAAGGACUAAGAAAGACGUCUGCCCAACACUAUGGAGCCGAUUUUACCACAGAGCUUUAGGAAUUAGGAAUAUCAUUUGAGCCACGAUUCUAAGGGAGCUGGGGCGGCAGGGGCUGCAGACAGCCACUCUAGAGAGAGACAGCAUCUUUGGAGAAGACUAAGGUGGCAAUUCGUUUUCCAUGUGGAAAUUCUUCUUGAGGAUCUAAGCACCAGCCCAAACCACACAAGGUUAUGUAUUUCAAUAAAGAGGCCAUU